GACGAACGCUGGCGGCGUGCCUAAUACAUGCAAGUAGAACGCACAGUUUAUACCGUAGCUUGCUACACCAUAGACUGUGAGUUGCGAACGGGUGAGUAACGCGUAGGUAACCUGCCUGGUAGCGGGGGAUAACUAUUGGAAACGAUAGCUAAUACCGCAUAAUAUUAAUUAUUGCAUGAUAAUUAAUUGAAAGGUGCAAUUGCACCACUACCAGAUGGACCUGCGUUGUAUUAGCUAGUAGGUGAGGUAACGGCUCACCUAGGCGACGAUACAUAGCCGACCUGAGAGGGUGAACGGCCACACUGGGACGGAGACACGGGCCAGACUCCUACGGGAGGCAGCAGGUGGGAAUAUUCGGGAAUGGGCGAAAGUCUGACCGAGCAACGCCGCGGGGAGGAAGAAGGUUUUCGGGUCUUAAAGCUUUUUUGGAAGGGAAGAAGGGGGGUGAGGGUGGAAAGUUCCCAAUGGGACGGUAUCUUACCAGAAAGGGACGGCUAACCACGG
rnacentral:rRNA from 1 species